rnacentral:rRNA from 1 species
GAUCAUGGCUCAGAUUGAACGCUGGCGGCAGGCCUAACACAUGCAAGUCGAGCGGAUGAAGAGAGCUUGCUCUCUGAUUCAGCGGCGGACGGGUGAGUAAUGCCUAGGAAUCUGCCUGAUAGUGGGGGUACAACGUUUCGAAAUGACGCUAACUACCGCAUACGUCCGUACGGGAGAACGCGACGGGGUACCGUCGGGUCCUUGCGCUAUCAGAUGACGCCGUAGGUCGGUAUUAG